UGCUCAACGCUGCAGCCUUAGUUGCUAGUGUGAGGUGUUUGCAGUGUUUAGCAUUCCUGGUGCUUUUCUGGAUUUACUGCUGUUUCAUUUGACUUUUGGGGUCUCAGACUGUAAGUCGAUUUUGUUAAUAAAUCAUUGAACUCUUUCUGCAGCCUUAUCACCAGUUUGUCUCAUGUGGACCCAAGCUGCAGCUCCAGAGAUUAUGACAGCUAGUUUCUUUUAUUAGAUUGAUGUUUUCCUCCAUGGUGCAAAUAUUUGGACAAACAUAGAAAUCCUUUUUUUUAACUAGUUGAAUACUCAACAAUAUUUCUACAAACCCACUGAAUCAUGCCUGUGGUUAGCUGAUUGCUGGAAAAGAAGACCAGAACCAGGCCGACUCUGCUCUGCGUGGAUCUACCUUGUGAUGUGAUUUUGCUCCAACAGGCUCAGCAGGCACCCGGCAGACUCUCCUGAAUCUCUCCAUCACUGACCUUAAACGUCCCUGUGAACCGGAGCAGUCAGGUCAGGUCUGGGCCUGCCGGUCAUAACCACCAAGGUCAACUGAAACAGUUGUCUUCAGUCAUCUGGAAGUGGAGCCUCUGGGCGGUAAACACAGCGGUCAGCUCACGUCAGCUGUGACUUCAGGUGCUUCUGCUGAGACCCGCCUCCACCCCAUCAACCUCUAUUCAUCAUAUCCAGCGCCCAGGAGAGCUAAUCCCAAUACCUCAUCACACCUCCUCCUCAUCCCAUCUCCUCAUCAAAUCCAGUUACCCCUUAAGAUAUCCGAUAUCAGAAUCGGGGUCUAAUCAC